rnacentral:rRNA from 1 species
GACGGAGGGUGCUAGCGUUGUUCGGAAUCACUGGGCGUGAAGGGCGCGUAGGCGGUCAUUCAAGUCGAGUGUGAAAGCCCGGGGCUCAACCUCGGAACUGCAUUCGAUACUGGAUGGCUUGAGGCCGGAAGAGGAGAGUGGAAUACCCAGUGUAGAGGUGAAAUUCGUAGAGAUUGGGGGGAACACCAGUGGCGAAAGCGGCUCUCUGGUCCGGUCCUGACGAUGAGGCGCGAAAGCGUGGGUAGCAAACAGG